rnacentral:rRNA from 1 species
GGAGACUGCGAGCGUUACUCGGAUUCACUGGGCGUAAAGGGUGCGCAGGCGGCCAAAUGUGUCAGGUGUGAAAGCCCGGGGCUCAACUCCGGAAUUGCGCCUGAAACUGUUUGGCUAGAGUCUCGGAGAGGUAAGCGGAAUUCCUAGUGUAGCGGUGAAAUGCGUAGAUAUUAGGAGGAACACCAAAGGCGAAGGCAGCUUACUGGACGAGAACUGACGCUGAGGCACGAAAGCGUGGGGGAGCGAAAGGGAUUAGAUACCCCUGUAGUCCACGCCGUAAACGUUGUACACUAGGUUUUGGGCGAUUCGACCCCGCUCAGGGCUCAAGCUAACGUGAUAAGUGUACCGCCUGAGGACUACGACCGCAAGGUUA